rnacentral:rRNA from 1 species
GAUGAACGCUAGCUACAGGCUUAACACAUGCAAGUCGAGGGACCGGCGCACGGGUGAGUAACACGUAUCCAACCUGCCCUUUACUCGGGGAUAGCCUUUCGAUAGAAAGAUUAAUACCCGAUAUAAAGGAUGGGGAUGCGUUCCUUUAGGUUGUUGGUGAGGUAACGGCUCACCAAGCCUUCGAUGGUUAGGGGUUCUGAUAGGAAGUCCCACCAGAAUUGAACUGAGACACGGUCCAAAACGCGACGGGAGGCAGCAGUGAGGAAGAUUGGUCAAUGGGCGCUAGUCUGAACCUGCCACGUAGCGGGAAGGAGGAAUGCGUAUGGGUGGUAAACUUCUUUUAUAUAAGAAUAGGUAUUAUAUGAAUAAGCACCGGCUAACUCCGUGCCAGCAGCCGCGGUAAUUC